rnacentral:rRNA from 1 species
UACGGAGGGUGCAAGCAUUAAUCGGAUUUAUUGGGCGUAAAGGGCGCGUAGGCGGUAAUAUAAGUUAGAUGUGAAAUCCCAGGGCUCAACCGUGGAAAAGCAUUUAAGACUAUAUAACUAGAGGGUAUGCGGAGGAAAUGGAAUUCCACAUGUAGCGGUGAAAUGCGUAGAUAUGUGGAAGAACACCAGUGGCGAAGGCGGUUUUCUAGCAUAGACCUGACGCUGAGGCGCGAAAGCAAGGGGAGCAAACAGG